AGCGGCGAAGCAUCCCCUUGGUGAGGACGACGGUGCCAGGAGCAGCACGGAGAGUGAGAUAGCAUCCCCCGGAGGGUACGGAUCCCCACGGAGAGCGGCGGAGCAUCCCCGGGGUGAGAAAGGAAGACACGGACAGAGCAUCCCCCGGGGCAGCAAGCACCGAGAGCGGCCGAGCACCGCCCCGGAGCGAGGAACACGGAACCGGGAGCACCACGGGGACCCAUGGAGCAUCCCCCCGGGGCAGCGGUGAAGAGGGUGCGGGGAUCGGGCGGGAGGAGCACGGACACCCACCGCAUCAUCCCCCACAGGGUAGGAAUCCCCAC